rnacentral:rRNA from 1 species
AUGAAGGAACUUGGGCUCAAUGAGGAAACCCUGGAAGACGUGAUCGUUGAGGAGGAUGAGCUGCUGGCUGAAGCUACCAAGUGGAUGGCCAUGGCACGCGUCCACACGAACAAGACAUACAGUCAGUAUUGGUUCUUCCGGAGUAUGAGGGUGGCUUGGGAUUUGGCGCAGGACGUGAAGAUCCGACCACUUGAAGAAAAUCUCUACACGCUGCAGUUUUCGUGCUUGGGUGAUUGGGAA